AGAGGGAGCUAUAUCCAGAAUUCUUUGAACAGGAAAUACUGGACUCAGGAGAAUGCCAAAAGGAGUGAACCAAAGACAUAAGGUCUGCGAAAACCUGUUUCCAGAGUAUAAACUGCAGACCAUUGCAGUUAUGGUGCCUGAAUACAAUCCAGUGGGAAGCAGUCCAGAGUGGCUGGACAUUCAGAGACCAAGUGAAGAGUGAGUGGCUGUGUAUCAAGACCCAG
rnacentral:lncRNA from 1 species